AUUUGAGAGUUUGAUCCUAGCUCAGGAUGAACGCUGGCGGCGUGGAUAAGGCAUGCAAGUCGAGUGGGUUUAGACCCACGGCAAACGAGUUAGUAACGCGUAGGAAUCUGCCCUGAAGUCCGGAAUAACUCGGAGAAAUCCGAGAUAAUACCGGAUGGUUCCCGACCUCGCGUCGGGAUAAAGGUUGUUUGCUUUUGCAGACAAUUGCUUCGGGAGGAGCCUGCGUCCUAUCAGCUUGUUGGCAGGGUAAUGGCCUACCAAGGCAAUGACGGGUAGGGGAAGUGAGAACUUGUUCCCCAACGAUGGGACUGAGACACGGUCCAUACACCUACGGGUGGCUGCAGUCGAGAAUCUUCCACAAUGGGCGAAAGCCUGAUGGAGCGACGCCGCGUGAGUGAAGAAACCCUUCGGGGCGUAAAACUCUUUUAUAGGAGAACAAUCCCGACUUUAGGUCGGGAUGAGCGUAUUCUAUGAAUAAGGGGCGACAAACUUCGUGCCAGAAGUCUCGGUAAUGCGAAGGCCCCAAGCGUUAUCCGGAAUUAUUGGGCGUAAAGCGUGUGUAGGCGGUUUUGAUAGUGGCUGGUCAAAUCCCGGGGCUUAACUCCGGAACUGCCAGUCAAACGUUAAGACUAGAGCAAGCGAGAGGUUGAUGGAACUUACCAAGUAGGGGUGAAAUCCGUUGAUAUGGUAGGGAACACCAAAGGCGAAGGCAAUCAACUGGCGCUUAGCUGACGCUGAGACACGAAAGCGUGGGUAGCGAACGAGAUUAGAUACCUCGGUAGUCCACGCCCUAAACGAUGCCGACUAGCCGUUCGGAGUAUCGACCCUCUGAGUGGCGAAGCUAACGCGUUAAGUCGGCCGCCUGGGGAGUACGGCCGCAAGGCUAAAACUCAAAGGAAUAGACGGGGACUCGCACAAGCGGUGGAUCAUGUGGUUUAAUUCGACGGUACACGAGGAACCUUACCAGGGCUAGACAUCCUGAUGAAAUCCCUCCGAAAGGCGGGACCUCUUUUAGACAUCAGGACAGGUGAUGCACGGUUGUCGUCAGUUCGUACCGUGAGGCGUUCCUUUAAGUAGGGCAACGGACGCAACCCCUGUUCUGUGUUAUACGUGUCACAGAAGACUGCCUCCGAACAGGAGGAGGAAGGUGGGGAUGACGUCAAAUCAGCGUGUCCCUCUGAUGUCCUGGGCCACACACAUGAUACAAUGGCCGAGACAAUGGGUUGCUAAGCCGUAAGGCGGAGCUAAUCCCAUCAAACUCGGUCUCAGUUCGGAUUGGGGGCUGCAACUCGCCCCCAUGAAGCUGGAAUCGCUAGUAAUCGCGCAUCAGCUAUGGCGCGGUGAAUACGUUCUCGAGUCUUGUACUCACCGCCCGUCACACUAGGGAAGCCGGUAGUACCCGAAAUCUCUCUCUUGAGAGGGCCUAAGGUAAGAUCGGUGACCAGAGUGAAGUCGUAACAAGGCAUCCGUAGCGGAAGCUGUGGAUGGAUCACCUCCUUUCUA
rnacentral:rRNA from 5 species